UACACAUCACUAACAGCAGUCAGCAGAGUGUGACAUGAUGGGGUAGUGUCUCCCUGACAAGAGGUAUCCUGAUUCUUACAAGACAUCCAGCUCCUUUGGUGGCCCUCACGCGUCUUUCUGUGUAGCCUAGAAGAUGUCCGUCAAGAGAUGAAUGGACAGAGAAAAUGCAACACCUAUAUACAAUGGAAUCAUGCGGAGCUCUGAAAACUUAAUCCAUGAUAUUUGGGGGACAAUAGAGGCAACAGGAAACAUCAGGCUAAGUGAAAUAAGUCAGAACUAACAGCAACAACAUCCCACGUUCCCUCUUUUAUGCAGAAGCUAGAUUUAAAAGUGCACAACAAACACCAAGUUGAUGGAGUGCACAAGAAACGCACAGGAGGAAAGACGCAGUACGCGGAAACCGUGAGAAGGACUGCCAAUGGCCAGCCUCCUUGGGCAAUUAUUUCGACACUGAGGGCUCUGAGUCAAGAAGAGGGCAGGAGGGCUAGAAUGUGUCCUGUUUCUUCCUUGAACUCCUCCCCAGCACAGCCGGAUCCAGCUCAGCUUCUUUCCCUUUUGUGCUUGGCUUCAUCCUGUGCCUCCUUUACAUCUUUCCAUGAACUAUGACGGAAUACUGGGAAAUUUCACUACCGCCGCCCCUCCUAGUUUCCCAAGAGGUACUUAGUAAUUAAAAAAAAAAAAUUAGUUUCUUUCAUUUGUUACAA